UAGACUCAAUAAAAUCUUUAAGAACCAUAUUAUAUAAAAUAAAAUUCAAUUAAAUUAGAAUUUUAUAAUGUCCCAAAUAUAAAAAAUAAUAAAAACUUAUAUUCUUUUAAUAAACAAAUCAUUAGUGCCAGCAGUUGCGGUUAUUCUAUAAAUUAUUUGAUUCUUAAUCCAUUUAAUAUUAUAAAUAUUUAUAUAAACAUAUAUCUUAUGGUGAAAUCCUAAAAAUUCAAAAUAAAAUAAUAAAAUUAAAAAAAAUUUAAAACUUAAAAUAGGAUUAGAAACCCUAGUAUAUUUAAAUAUACUAAGUAGUAAAAUUAAAAUAAACUUAAUUAUUUUGGCGGCAUUUAUCAACUUAGAGGAACUUGUUCUUUAAUCGAUACUCCACGAUAACUUUCACUUUUCUUCAAAGUUUAUAUACCACCAUCUCAAGAAUUAUUUUUUAUAAAUUACCUCAAAAACAAAUAAAAAGUUAGGUCAAGGUGUAGCUAAAAUUAAAGCAGAAAUGAGUUACUUUAAAAACUAUUUAAGGAUUAAAAUUUCAAAAUUUAUCAGAAAAAGGAUUUAUCAGUAAUAUCUAAAUAAUAAUUCUAUUUGAAAUUUCCAAUAAAUGUGCACAUAUCGCCCGUCACCCUUAUUAUUUUCUAUUAUAAGGUAAGUCGUAACAUAGUUAAUGUUUUGGAAAAAGCAUUAAGAAUUAA
rnacentral:rRNA from 1 species